GGGAUUAUAGUUAAUAAUAACAUUUGAGUUGCAUUCAAAAAGUACUACCUUCAAACUAGUUAAUCUCA
rnacentral:tRNA from 1 species